rnacentral:rRNA from 1 species
CGCUGGCGGCGUGCCUAAUACAUGCAAGUCGAGCGCGGGAAGCGGACUCGUCACCCUUCGGGGUGUCUAGUCCGUGGAACGAGCGGCGGAUGGGUGAGUAUCACGUGGGCAACCUGCCUGUAAGAUUGGGAUAACUCGCGGAAACGUGAGCUAAUACCGAAUGAAGUCUUUCACCGCCUGGUGAAAGGAUGAAAGAUGGCUUUUAGCUAUCACUUACAGAUGGGCCCGCGGCGCAUUAGCUAGUUGGUGGGGUAAAGGCCUACCAAGGCGACGAUGCGUAGCCGACCUGAGAGGGUGAUCGGCCACACUGGGACUGAGACACGGCCCAGACUCCUACGGGAGGCAGCAGUAGGGAAUCUUCCGCAAUGGACGAAAGUCUGACGGAGCAACGCCGCGUGAGUGAUGAAGGUCUUCGGAUCGUAAAACUCUGUUGUCAGGGAAGAACAAGUUGUGUUCUAACAGGACAUGACCUUGACGGUACCUGACCAGAAAGCCCCGGCUAACUACGUGCCAGCAGCGGC